rnacentral:rRNA from 1 species
UACGUAGGUGGCAAGCGUUUACUCGGAAUCACUAGGCGUAAAGCGCAGGUAGGCGGUUUGAUAAGUCUGUUGUGAAAGCUCCCGGCUUAACUGGGAGAGGUCAACGGAAACUGUCAAGCUAGAGUGUGGUAGAGGUAGCUGGAAUUCCCGGUGUAGCGGUGAAAUGCGUAGAUAUCGGGAGGAAUACCUAUGGCGAAAGCAGGCUACUGGACCAUCACUGACGCUGAUCUGCGAAAGCUAGGGGAGCAAACAGG